rnacentral:rRNA from 1 species
UACGGAGGGUGCAAGCGUUAUCCGGAUUCACUGGGUUUAAAGGGUGCGUAGGUGGGUCUGUAAGUCUGUGGUGAAAUCUCCGAGCUUAACUUGGAAACUGCCAUGGAUACUAUAGAUCUUGAAUACUGUGGAGGUUAGCGGAAUAUGUCAUGUAGCGGUGAAAUGCUUAGAUAUGACAUAGAACACCAAUUGCGAAGGCAGCUGGCUACACAAAUAUUGACACUGAUGCCCGAAAGCGUGGGGAUCAAACAGG